UUGAAAAAGUUAAUAGAAGAAAGAUUUAUAUUAGGAUUUUGGUAAUGUGUAUUAAAGCGAUGUGCGAUGAAUACUGAAUUAAACAGAAAGCAGAUGUACACAUCACCGAAUCAGAUGCAUGGAAGUAGUAGAAAAGUACAAUGAAUUUAUUGUAACCCUCUGAAUAACACUAUCUAGGAUUUACUUAGCUCUGGUGACUGUAAACUGUUGUGGUCACAGAGAUGUUUGUAUUGUAGGGAUUUACUGAGUGACUAUAAACUCAUACAUGCCAACUUUCCCGAUUUAGGCGGGAUCUUCCCGAUUUUACCCUCCGGUCCCGCUUUCCCGAUUGGGAAAGCAAAAUUACCCUAAAAUCCCGAUUUGAAAUUUUUUCCGACCAAAAUUUCCGAUUUCACGAUUGAAAAUGAGUUUGAAAGCGGGAUAAUCGUGAAAUCUCGUGACCAGAAUUGGAAAUCCCGCGUCAUUUCUGAACUGGCCAAUCAGAAAUCGGGACAAUAGUCAGCCAUUGCUGUUUACCUGUGUCGCAUGGUGUCGGGUUGGUCUGCCUGUGUCGGGGUGUUUAUUGGACAGUGCGAAGCAUGUUUUGAUAGUAAUUAAUCGGGAAGACGGAUUUCAAAUUGACCUAUCCUUUACACAAACGUGAAUGACAACGAUGCUAGUGUCACCACCAAACAAUCGGACAUUCCGCCUCUCGCUGACAGCAUCCAAAAUUUGCAAUAAGAUGUCAUGGGUGCAAAGGUUUUGUUCGCAAACUUCAUAGCAGGGCAGAUCACUCCUUUUUUGGUUGCAAUGCAGAUUAUUCCACCAGUCUCUGCAAGCCCAUGUUUACAGACAAGCAAGAUCGCCUUUGCAGUCGUACCUAAAUGCAUGUGCUUUGAUUUAAAUUUUGAUAUAUAGACCGGCCAAUGUUUAUUGUAUGGUGUAAAAGGAUGCAACCUUAAAUAUUAUUUGAUAUUAUGUAUGUGACUUGUUGGAGAAGAUUUUUUGCUGAAUAGAUGAUUUUAAUAAAAUAUUAAUGU